AUGACCUCGCGGAUGGAGAGGGAUUCGAACCCCCGGUAUUCCUAUCAAUACUUCGGUUUUCAAGACCGACUCUUUCAACCGCUCAGAUAUCCAUCCCUACGCUCGCCCGCCCUAUCUAUCUGCGCGCUAGCAGGUAGGGGCAACUCUAUGUGA
rnacentral:rRNA from 1 species